GACAGAGGAUGCAAGCGUUAUCCGGAAUGAUUGGGCGUAAAGCGUCUGUAGGUGGCUUUUUAAGUUCGCCGUCAAAUCCCAGGGCUCAACCCUGGACAGGUGGUGGAAACUACCAAGCUAGAGUACGGUAGGGGCAGAGGGAAUUUCCGGUGGAGCGGUGAAAUGCGUAGAGAUCGGAAAGAACACCAACGGCGAAAGCACUCUGCUGGGCCGACACUGACACUGAGGGACGAAAGCUAGGGGAGCGAAUGGG
rnacentral:rRNA from 1 species